GCCACCUUAGCUCAGUUGGUAGAGCGCCACAUUCGUAACGUGGAGGUCGCCGGUUCAAUCCCGGCAGGUGGCU
rnacentral:tRNA from 1 species